rnacentral:lncRNA from 1 species
CCGUCGGGGGCGGUGCCGGGACCAAGCGUUCCGUCGCCUUGGUGGUCGCCCGGUUGCAGACCUCUGUCUGCUUCCAGGGCUGUGGGGCUCCAGAGGCUCAUCCCUGGAGGGCGGGAAGUCCUGGAGCAGUGCGGGCGUGACCGCGGGCUUUGCCCACAGAAACGCUUUCCAAGGGCUCCGGACGCAGACUAGGGGGCGUCUGGAGCCUGGUGUGGUGUCUCGUGCAGCCCGUCCCGUGGGAAUGGAUGCAACUUCGGGCGCAGGCGACUGGUGGGAAGUUGGAAUCGUGGAUUCGUGAGCACGCACUACGGGCGGCUAGGUCUCGCUUCCUGUUACCCCGUUUCCUUGACAAUCAUGCCACAACCUCGAGGC